ACAAAAUGGUGAAACUAGCUGGCCAUUGUACGCAGAUAAACUCCUCUAGGAGAAGGUACUGAAGAAACAAGGCAGCAGCAAAUGACUGCAGGAGAAUAAAGUCUUCAAGAAUUGUUACUUUGCCAGUCAAUGGACAAGGAGGGGGAUAAAAAACAAAGCAAAAUGGAUUGUCAUUUGAUUUUAAACUUCUAAUCUUCAGCUCAUUUACUGACACUGUGGCUGGAAUCUUCUGCUCUUACAAUAUUAGCAGUUGUCAGGUUUGUCAGUUCUGGAUAUCAACCCCAGGAAAGUCAGAAUUGUGCUUACAAUUAGGAUGAUGCAUUUCAGAGGACUCCUUUAUGUUAGGUAUUGAAUUAAGGAUGGUGGAUGUGUGCGUUGCCCUUGUGGAACAUGGAGAACGGUGGCCCACUAUAAUGGAAGCUGUCAGCCCUGACUUUGAGACCAGUGGGUGCACUGUUAAAGCUGGUGGAUGGUAUGGCGAGGAGCUGCUGCUGCCACCAUUAGGAUCUAUGGAGCAGAUGCAAGGCUCAAUGCAUAAGGCCAUUGGACACAAAUAAUAACAAUCAAAUGUGGUCUAAAGAAAUACCUGAGACCUAAUGAAAUGCUGUAUCAAGUGGUGGAUAUAUUAAGUUAAUUGGGUUUAAAUUGUUGUAUAAAUAUGGGGAGUUAAUAAUCAGUCAAGGGUGAGUUUCAUGGAGUGGGGCUAACUGAAAUAAAGCUCUCACAUCGAAGUGUGAACUUUAAUUAAAGUUAUCUAUUGGAGUGUAA